UACGUAGGGAGCAAGCGUUGUCCGGAAUCAUUGGGCGUAAAGCGCGCGUAGGUGGCCUCAUAAGUCCGCUGUGAAAGUCAAAGGCUCAACCUUUGAAAGCCGGUGGAUACUGUGAGGCUAGAGUACGGAAGAGGCGAGUGGAAUUCCUGGUGUAGCGGUGGAAUGCGCAGAUAUCAGGAGGAACACCGGUGGCGAAGGCGGGUCUCUGGGCCGAGGGCCGACGCUGAGGCGCGAGAGCGUGGGGAGCGAACCGG
rnacentral:rRNA from 1 species